rnacentral:rRNA from 1 species
CGCGGCCUAUCAGCUUGUUGGUGAGGUAACGGCUCACCAAGGCAUCGACGGGUAGCUGGUCUGAGAGGACGAUCAGCCACACUGGGACUGAGACACGGCCCAGACUCCUACGGGAGGCAGCAGUAGGGAAUCUUGCGCAAUGGGCGAAAGCCUGACGCAGCAACGCCGCGUGGGGGAAGAAGGCUCUCGGGUCGUAAACCCCUUUCAGCAGGGACGAAAAUGACGGUACCUGCAGAAGAAGGACCGGCCAACUACGUGCCAGCAGCCGCGGUAAUACGUAGGGUCCGAGCGUUGUCCGGAUUUAUUGGGCGUAAAGAGCUCGUAGGCGGUUUGGUAAGUCGGGUGUGAAAACUCAGGGCUCAACCCUGAGACGCCACUCGAUACUGCCAUGACUAGAGUCCGGUAAGGGAGUGUGGAAUUCCUGGUGUAGCGGUGAAAUGCGCAGAUAGCAGGAGGAACACCAACAGCGAAGGCAGCACUCUGGGCCGGUACUGACGCUGAGGAGCGAAAGCAUGGGGAGCAAACAGGAUUAGAUACCCUGGUAGUCCAUGCCGUAAACGUUGGGCACUAGGUGUGGGUCCCAUCCAACGGGAUCCGUGCCGCAGCUAACGCAUUAAGUGCCCCGCCUGGGGAGUACGG